AAGGGCACAUAACUGCUGUGACUGAUGAACUUCACACGUGGUCAGGGGCUUCAGAUUUAAUAACAAAUCUGUUUAUUGACUACAGCUUGCUGUACAAUUAGCAUUUCCUUGCUAGGCACACCAAUCAUCAUAUAUCCGUUGCCUUCACUGCUUCACAUGCUUCUAGGUCUUAAAUACUUACGACCUAUGAACCAUAAACUUCUGUGGUCACCAGAUUUACAACACUUGGAAUUUUGUUAAAACCUUCUAGGUUAACAAACGCAAGGCAUUAAUCUACUAUGAGUGACCAGAGUCCAUAUACAAUUGAAGAACGAUUAAUUGCAGCUGUUUGGAUGCAUGAUCGUGUUCUUAAUAAUAAAAAAAUACCCGAAAUUCGGCGAUUGUUCCAGGAACGUUUUGGAAAGCCUUCACCUACACCACGCAUCUUGAGAGAAUGGGAGAAAAAAGUAUUUGAAACUGGUAGUGUUCUUGAUGCACCUCGUUGUGGUCGACCAAGGACAAGAUUUGAACAUUUAACUGCAAUACAAGAGUCACUUAUUCGUUCUCCUUCAUUAUCAAUGAGGAAGCGUUCGGCAGAAUUACAAAUUCCAAAAAGUACUUUGAGAAAAAUUCUUAAGUUAGAUCUUCCACAAGAUGCAGUGGUAUAUGAAGUUCAAAACAAAAAUGAAGAUAAAAAAGUCGAAGUAUGUCGAGUUAUGUUUCAGAAAUUUCCAUUUUUUGGAUGAGGCAUCAAACUAUAUGCAUAUUGCAGUGUGCAUCACAUUGCUGUAUGCAUGCAAUUAUGGUUUACAAUAUUUUUGUUAUUUUUCAUUGUUAAAACCAGUCUUCUUUUCUACUUCCAAAAAAGCCUAAAUUAAUUAUUUUUAUUUAUUCCAUUUAAUGAUAGUGAUUUUGACUAUUUUUUUUCUUUAUCUAAUUUAACUCAUUUUAUGCUUUCAUUUUACUGAUUUGCCAAAUACACAUCUUGGAACUGAAUAAAUACAAGGGCUUCUGCUUUCCUUCUCAUUGAUGCUACAUCUAUCAAUUAUGAAUAUUGACAAUCAUUUACGUUUUUUUAAACCUUUUGGAUAUUUGAUCUCGUUUGGAUAAAAGUUGCUUACUGGAGCUUUUGCAAUUCAAUCUUGGAGAAAGUAUGUCAAAAGAUGUCUUAUUGGCUUCAUAAGGAAAUAGAAACAGCAGUAGUAUAUAGGCAUGUAUAUGUGAAAGAAGAAGCUCAUUUGUAUUGUAACCUUCUUGUUAAUAUAAAUAUAGAUUUUUACCUUGGAUUGUAAUUUUCUAUCAGAGCCAAAACAACUAAAUCAGCAUUAUUCUGCAUAUAUUUUGCAUGAAUUAUUUAAUUAAUUUUUUUUCUUUGUGUAUUUAUUUAUUUUAUAGCUUCUCUUAAGACCAGCUAAUUGUAAAUAAUAGUGUCCUGCUCUAUGAGAUUCCUUAUACUUCUGUAUUCUAUCAUGAAAUCAUUGACAAAUAAAGAAUACUGUUAAAAGUCCUCCAGUUGGCCUACAUAGUUUCAUACUAGGAUUUGACUAAACAGACAUAUCUUAUGCAAUCUGUCUUUAAUCCAGACAAUCACUUUUUCUUUCUCUCCUUCUGUCUUUCAUUAUCACUGUCAUAUUCUUGUAUGUCUGCAGAUAAAUGAAGUCAAGUAAAAGUAAUAAGCUGUUAUUAUAAACUUGAUUAAAAAAAAAAAUACUGCUAAUGGCUAUGGGUAUAUUGGGGGUGGGGUGGGGUGAAUUUUGUAUUAUUUGUGGCAGAUGUCCCUAUAAAAUAAUAAAUGUUCAUUUGGAUUUUAAUGAGAUAAGAAAUUGAUUGUAUCAGACCCUUUACUAUUAUUUUAUAGAGUUUAUAUUUCAUUGUAUAAAUAUUGAGAAUAUGAUAAAGAACAAGAUGGGGAAGCUUAUGAUGUUAGUGCAAAACAGUGUCAAAUCUUUACUCUUGUUGCUUUCUCAGUGUUUUACUGUUGUAGGAUUGUGAUCAAAGUAUUGACAGCAAAGGAUUUGGUAAACUAAAUUUUAAUUUAUUCCAAACACUUGAGAAAUUUUUGUCUUUUGACUUGAAGAUCAUUUCCAAAGACAAAUUUAAGGUUUAAUUAUAGAAAAUAUGAGAUCAAAUAAAAUAAUUGAAGAAUU